rnacentral:lncRNA from 1 species
UUCGAGUCCCGUCGCUCUCGCUGUCGAAAUGUUGUUUCAUCACAGCUCAGAUCAUCCUCCCGUCCCUCCUCUCUGCUGCUGCCACAACGGCCACCGCGCCGCCUACCACGAGGCCGCCUCCUCGGACUGCGACGACGGCGGCAACCCCCGCAAGGUCCGCUCGACGGCCCAGGAGCUCCGACUGGCGGGAGAUCCGGUACAAAUGCCGCAGCCUCAUCGCUCGGAUCGGGAGGUGCCGGUGGAGGCCGGGCCAUGCGGCCGCCGCUGCCGCUGCAUCCUUGGAGUUUGGGUACGACCCAAUGAGCUACGCACUCAACUUCGAGGACGACCGGAGCCGGGAGUCGGACGAGGAGUUCCCAGCGAGAAACUUCUCGGCACGGCUGCCGGUGUCUCCGGAUCGGUUGCUGCCGGCGAAGUAGCCGAGGGAAGUCGUAGCUUGUAGUUGAAGUUGUUUCCUCUGGAAGAGAAAAAAAAAGGCAUCAUUUUUUUUUUUUUUUUUAUAAUUUGGAUCGACAAGCAAGGCUAUAUUAGCAGUCCUUGGAACGAUCCGGAGCGCGUGUAUAUAUUUGUAGAAGCUUUGAGAUCUCAAAGUUAUGGACGGAAGAUCUGCUUCGAUAUGUCCUCGUCAUCAUCUCCAUUUCAUUUUCGCUUUUUGUCUGGAUUCUUUGUUGAUACCCGGCCGAGCAUUUUUGCUGCAUUACUUUAUCGAAAUGCGAAACUUCAACCAAAAAAAAAAAAAGAAGAGAAAAAUUGAAACGUGAACCGAUAAAAAUGGGAUUUACUCUAUGGAUAACAUGGAUGCAUAUUCUUUUCUUGUGGAUAGAGAUUGGUAGUCCGCCAUGAUGACUCAGUUACAGCACCCUUGGGCCCGCGUUCAAACACGAAUUUUUAAAUCUCCCUCAAUAUUUUUCUAAUUAAAUUAAAAAAUGAGAAUAGAAAUUUUUGGGGUCGUAAUAAAUGCACAUGUUCUUCUAAUCAAAAACUUAUCUAAGUAAUUAAAAAAAAAACUUGUCUAAAGAAAAGAAAAGAAAAGAAAAAUUGUUUUCGGAAACGUAAUAGUUAUUCAAAAGCAUUUUUAGUCUGCUUUAUUUUGUGAAUUAUAUGUUGACUCGAUAAGUUUUACCGUUGGAGAAUGUAAUUGUUAUUUUAUUUUGAAAAAUCAUUUGGUUAAUUUAUUUUUAGGUUGUACUUAACAAUUUAUCCAUAAAUUUGAUCAACAACGUGACCAAGAAAUAAUUUUUUUUUUUUGGUAUUUCUCUUUUUGACAAAAUUGAUUGUUAUGGAAAUAAAAUCUAACAAUUAAAAAAAGCAUACCCUUAAUAUACAUGGAAACUUUGUCAUUAUGGUAACAAAAUCCUACAUAAAAUACCAAAGCUAUUGAAAAGUAAAGCAAAACUCUUCAUCGGCACUGGUUUCGAUUGCUAGAAAUCAUGGAAGCUUACGUCCUGAAGUUAAUUACCAAGCCAGGGUUUAAUUUGGCCUUGCUAAUCAAGUAAUGCUUCUGUUCCGAAAGGUUCUGUUUCCAGUUAGGAGUAGCCGAGACUUUGAAUCCUUUGUGGAGAUAAAAACAUGAUCUAUUUGAGUUUGCUUCCCUGAUUCGAACCUCUGAUGUUAGUUUAGACUAAACUUAGGUUGGAAUUUGAGUUCGAAACACCUAAAAUCUUCCUUUCAAUCUUGUUUGGUAAAAAUGUUUGAAUCAAAUUGUGUAGAUUCAUAUCUAAUCUUAAAAAUGGUUUGAACUAAACAACNNNNNNNNNNNNNNNNNNNNNNNNNNNNNNNNNNNNNNNNNNNNNNNNNNNNNNNNNNNNNNNNNNNNNNNNNNNNNNNNNNNNNNNNNNNNNNNNNNNNUUGGUUUAAUUUUCCAUAAUAUAUCCCAUUUCCAGUAUAUUGGAUUUCUAUAUUGUGAGGCUUCAGACUCUUCAUAUACUCUUAGCGUCUAUUAAUAAGAGCAAUGAAAAAAAAAUUAUCUCACUCAUCAAAAAGAAAAUUUAACCAAUCCUUUCUGGAUGAUCAUGUUUAGCAUGUGGGAAUUACUGAAGUCGCAUAACAAUUUGUUUGUCUUCUUGGCUAAUUAAAGAGAAUUCGUAUACAUAGCAUUAAAAUUUAUUAACUAACUUGUCUUACAUUCAAAAAAAAAAAAAAAAACUUGUCUUACAUCGCAAAGGACAAUGAAAAUAAAAUCUUUAAUAGGAAAUUUCUUUGAAGCUUUCUGGAGCUAUGGAUUGAAAAGAAUAAUAAAAGAAAAUCUUCAAUAAGAAAUUUCUUUGAAUCUUCCUGGAGCUAUGGAUUGAAAAUAAUAAAGGACAAUGAAAAGAAAAUCUCGAAUAGAAAAUUUCUUUGAAGCUUCCUGGAGCUACAGAUUGAAAAGAAAAAAAAGGACAAUGAGAAGAAAAUCUUGAACAAGGAAUUUCUUUGAAGCUUCCUGGAGCUAUGGAUUGAAAAGAAUAAUCCUCUUAGAAUUGGAAAAAGCUUUAACCUUACGGAAAUGCCCCAGUAAAUGAUAAAUUUGUGUUCAAAGUGAAUGAAUAUGAAAAGGAGAGAGUUAAAAUAAAAGCAUCCUGUGGGGAGCCACUUUUUAGAUGAGAACGAAAAUGGCAAAAACAGAAACAAGUAUUUUAUACUUGAAGCCAAAAAGUGAAAAUGAUUUUCUGUAUUUUCGUUUGAAAAUUCUCUAAAUCAUUCAAAUGAUAGAGAGGAUGAAAAUUCGAAGAAUUUUGUCAAAUGAAUUUUAGUUUCAAUGGGUGCAAUUGCAACGAGAGCGAAGAUAUGAUAACUUUUUGAAACUCAAUAACUUGGCAUAGCGGAUCACCACUUGAAGGCAAUGGAAUAUGCUGCAAAUUUAAUAAACUGGCUAAGUUUAAGCUUUUAGAUUGUGCGCAAAUGGCUCCAACCCAAAGUCAUUUUCUUGAUAUUUGAACGUAUGAUUCUAAUUUCUAAAAUCAACCUAUAAUUUUUGCAAAUGUAAUUAGUAUGAGACCUAAUAUACAUUUAACUUUCGUAUCACCAUCUGUAUUAUUUGACAAAUAAUAUAUCUCUCAAUUAUUAUUUGAUCAUUUGGGUCAAAAAGAAUAAAUUUUUUUUUAUUAGGAAGAUGUGCAAAUAUAUUUGGUUUUCUUUCAGAUUCCAAUUUCCAACCCACCUGAGAACACAAUCAUUUGGAGGUCCACAACAAGUAUAAAUGCUCUCACUUUAUUGUUUUUUUUUCUCCUGUUGAUAAAAAAAAAAAAACAGGAUUAAGGCUAAUUUUUGGUCAUCAAAGUGGGUAAGGAAAAAAGAAAGAAAAGGAAGUCACUAGGCUACGGACCCAUGUCUUACUCAGCUCAUCUUUUUCGUGCGAAACUUCCAUCAUCGUUGAUUCCAUUCAUCUUUAGAAAAUCUUUAGUUGCUCACUUUUGCUUCACACCACUUUGCACUUGAUUACGAUAACGUCAUAGAAUAUGCUAUUAUGAUGUUCUUGUACUUAACUACCCUAUGUGUUGUAAUGUUGUGACAUAACAAUAGGUGUACCAUAAAAGUUUUCUUCGUCUUUUGGACUUUGCUAUGAUCCAAUGACUUUAAACGCAACAAUUUUAUCAAUGUCAAUCUAAUGGUUUACUAUAAAAGUGGCAUGGCAUUUACUUUAAUAAAGGGAUCGGAGGAACUCUCCAAGAAAGACAUUGAAAAAUUUCACUUAUUGAAAAGGUUUCUCAUGGUGAUGAUCCAAUAUUUGUUAAGAUGUGAUACAUGUAUGAAUAUAUUUCUCUAUUUAUACACACAUAUUAUGCAACUUGUUCGUGAAGAAAUUGAAUUGAAUAAAUAAAGUAACUUAUCAUUUUCAAAAUGACUAGAUGAUAAAAAGAGUGUAAAAUACUCUUGUUAACAUUUUCCUACUAAUAAUUGCCACCUUCUCUUUCUCUAGACAUUGCUAAAACAAAUCAAUAGGAUUUGUUUCCACCUGACCAUAGAAAAAAAAGCAAAAAAUGAAAAAAGAAUAUAAAAACGGAUGACUAAAUAAAUAUUCGAUUAUGGAGAAUUUAUUGACCAAUAAUUUCUAAAUGUGACUCUAAAAGGAUAAACUUUAUGUAAAACAUAAAAAAAUUAUUAAUAUAAGGAGAGGAAUAAAAGUGCCUUGGGUGAGGGGUGAUGGCUGCGCAAUUUUUAGAUGCAUGACAUGGCAUGGAGAAAUUUAAUUUGACAAAAUUAUUUUGGGAGAGAUUUAUCUAGUGAUGUAUCAUUUUAGAGCAAUCUCCUUAAUGAAAAGCAUAUUGCUGAUUGAAAAUAAUAAAAUUUCCUUAUUUGAAUAAAAAGAGUCAUACAAACAUUUGUUUUCAACAAAAAUCUAAUUUAAUCCGACGAUUCAUAUGUUUUCGUCAUUGGCUCAUAUAAUUUGACACCGGGAGCAUGUGACUGUUGCUCGUCAGUUUUCUUUUCUACCCCUAUUGUUAAUAGUAAAAGCAAGUCAAAGUCACCUUGCUGGAGAGCAUUGCGUGUAAGCGUAUCCGUGUCGCUCUUUCCAUGCGGUGCUAUGGAAAUUACGCCUGCAAUAAUUGUCCUUUCCUUACUGCAUGCAUUGCAGACGUUCAAUUAGCAUAGAGAGUCUUGGACCGUUGGAUGGCCAGAACUCGGUCAAGCACGCACAAUAAAGAGGGUUGAAGCUGCACAAUUUGCAGACGCGGUAUGAAGACAUUUAAUUUGACCAAGUUAUUUUGGGAGAGAUUUAUUCACUAAUUUAUCAUUUUAUAGUAAUCUCCUUAAUGAAAAGUAGAUUGAUGAUUGAAAAUAAUAAACUUUCCUUAUUUGAAUAAAAAGAGUUAUACAAAGAUCUGUUUUCAACAAAAAUCUGAUUUAAUCCGAGGAUUCAUAUGUUUUCGUCAUUGGUUCAUGUAAUUUGGCACCGCGAGCAUGUGACUGUUGCUCGUCAGUUUUCUUUUCUACUUUUAUUGUUAAUAGAAAAAGCAAGUCAAAGUCAAGCCUUGCCUUGCUGGAGAGCAUUGCGUGUGAGCGUAUCCGCGUCGCUCAUCCCACGCACCUUCCGCGCGGUGUUACGGAAAUUACGCCUGCAAUAAUUCUCCUUUCCCUGCAGCAUGCAUCGCAGCCGUUCAAUUAGCAUAAAGAGUCCUGGACCGUUCAGCAUCAUUCAAGCACGCAUAUAAAAGACGGUUGCGUGGGGGUAAUCCAACGUCGAAGGUGAGAAUCGGUGGAGAUCGCAGCAGUGUCUGGAUUGUGUUGUUUAAGCACUCCUCAGGUAAUCGGUGACUACUUGCUCUUCUCCUCUUCUCUCUUUCUUGUUUUUAUUUCCAUUUUCUUUUGAUGACUUGUAUGAGAGCUUUUGUUUUUGUUUGAAUGUAGCUCUCAAUUGAGUUCUGAGAGACAUUUCUGCAAUUCCUAGAUCUAGGAUUCCAUACUCCUCUUCUUUUGAGGCUCCACUCCAUCUCUCUCGAGAUGAUCAGAAAAGAGCCUCCUCAUUCAGAAGAUCUGCUAUACAGAGCGUCUUCGUCGUCGACCUCUCCACACGUAGGUGAUGAUGGUGGAACCAAAAGGCUGAAAGGAAGUGACUACGAAGUGUUCUUGAGCUUUAGAGGGGAAGACACUCGCAAAGGCUUCACCGAUCACCUCUAUACUAGCCUUGUUGAUGCAGGAAUUCGCGUGUAUAGAGACAAUGAUGAGCUCCGAGUUGGUGACGAGAUUGGUCCGGAGCUUCUCUGCAGUAUCACGCGGUCUAAGAUUUCGAUCCCGAUUAUAUCUGAGGAUUACGCUUCCAGCAAAUGGUGCCUUCAAGAGCUGGCUCAGAUGUUGAAGUGCAGGAGAAGUGGAGAGCAAGUAGUGUUGCCCAUAUUUUACAAAGUGGAACCCUCACAAAUGCGACAUCUCAAGGGAAGAUUUGGAGAUGCCAUCAAUGCACAUCAAAAAAAUUCAGAUCAAAUGGUUGUGAAGGAAUGGGUAGAAGGGCUCAACGAAGUCAGUUCUUUAAAAGGAUGGGAAUCGGAGAAAAUAGAUGAUGGGUAAGUUAUUCUCCACCAAAACAUUGUUAAGUUUCUCAUAAAUAUCUACUUGAAAAAAAUCAUAUAAACAUUGCUAUCAUAUAUUGAAAUUUUGAAUUAUCAUUUGAUAGGCAUGAAGCAGCAUUAGUGAAAAGAGUUGUCAUAAAAGUUAUGAGCGAGUUAAAAAGACUUUUCCACCUAAGGGUUCCUGAACAAUUGGUGGGAAUUGAUGAUCAUGUGAAACAGAUUAUGAGCAACGUAGAUGCUAAUUUCAAUGGUACAUGGAUCAUUGGAAUUUAUGGAAUGGGCGGCAUCGGUAAGACAACUCUUGCAAAGGUGGUAUACAACAAGCUAUUAAGCGAUUUUAAGGAUCAUUGCUUUGUGGCUGAUAUUCGAGAAAGAUCUCAACGCAAUGGUAUUGUAUGCCUACAAAAUGAGCUCAUUUCUAAUGUGAUAAAAGGAUCGGAGGUGUCUAAUGUUGAUGACGGAAUCUGUGUACUCAAAUCUCGAUGUACAAGUAAGAAAGUCCUCGCUCUUCUUGAUGAUAUGGAUGAUAAUACUCACUUGGAUGCUUUGGUUGGAGACGGUAGUUGGUUUAAAGCAGGAAGUAUAGUCAUCAUCACAACUAGAAACAAGAGUAUUCUUGACAAGGUUAGGGCUAACCACUUGUAUGAACUUGAAAAGUUGCCUUCAAAUCAAUCGUUGAUUUUAUUUAGUAGACAUGCAUUUCGAAAGGAUUAUCCUCCGAGUGAUUAUAAGGAUAUCUCUUAUGAUGUCGUAUCUACUACCGGGGGGCUUCCUUUAGCUCUUGAAGUUAUAGGCUCAUUCUUAUGUGGAAAGACAAAGGAAACAUGGAAAGAUACAUCAAAGAAAUUGAAGAAAAUUCCUGAUAAAAAAGUGCAAGAGAGGUUGAGGAUAAGUUACGAAGCAUUAGAUUAUGAAGAGCAACAGAUUUUUUUGGAUAUAGCAUGUUUUUUCAUUGGAAUUUCUAAACAAAAUCCGACUUAUAUGUGGGAUGCCUGUGGUUUUUACCCGGGGAAAGGGAUUGAAGUGUUAAGUCUUAUGUCCCUAAUUAAAAUUGGUGAAUAUGACACGCUAAUGAUGCAUGAUCAACUGAGAGAUCUUGGAAGGGAAAUUGUUCGUUUAGAACAUCAAAAGAAGCCUAGAAAACGUAGUCGGAUAUGGACUAAUGAGGAAGCCGAAGAUGUGCUUGAGGGCAACAAGGUAAGAGUUUCCUCUAUUUGUCUUAUAGUCAGUAAACGUUGAGUCCAUCUUCUCUUUCUUUUUCGAGAUGAAAGUUAAUCCGCCAAAUUUGGGGCAGCUAAUAGUAGAAGUGCUCGUCUGGUUAAUUAUUUUUCUUGCCUUAUUUUAAGACAUAAUUGAGCAGCAGUUUCUUGGCAGUUGAUAUAGGAUAUAUAUCUUCUUCUUCUUUUCAUCUCUUUUUUUUUUUGUCAAAAUGAAAAAAUAUAUAUAUUUAUAUACGCACACAUACCUCAUAAAAUUUUGCUGAGGACACUCUCCUUUCAAAACAUCAAUUCAACAAUGAAAUUGCAAAACCGUAGCGUUUGAUAGGGCACUUUCCGAGAAAACAUGACAUCUAUGAGUUGUUGGGCCAUGCUUUUUCCACAUAUACGUUUGAUGCACAUUUUUGAAGAUUGGGUUUUUCUUAUAAUUUCUUGUGAGGUCUUUUCUUCUUCUUAUUCUUUUAACUGAAUAUUGACUUCUUAUGUGUCAUUUGCUAUGAUAAAUGAGACCUCCAUUCAUAUGUGAUGACUAGCUCGCUUUCUUUUCUUUAAGUUGGGUUAAGUACAGAUUUAGUAAGUGUUAUUGUUUGUGUGAUUUGGUCAUCUCUCUAUUCGUUUUUUCCUUAAUGUAGUCUUUUACCUUUCACAAUUGGUGCAAUUGAAUCAUUUGUUGUCAACCUUUAGUUAACGCUGUCAGUUUGCUAUUAUCACUUCUGUAUUUGUAUGUGAUAUAUGUGCAACCAAGCAAUAUAACCCUAUAAACAUAUAUUAUUUUUGUUCUAUAGACUUUACAUAAUAUUGAAUAAUUUUCUUCCAUGAAUUUGCUAAUACAUUUUUUUUUUUAUAUUUUUAUAACUUUGGAUAAUUUUUCUAUUAAUCCCCGAUAACAUGUAUUUGUCAAAUCUGGGCUUUCUUGUUAUAAUAAUUAUUACUGCACGGUUCAACUCUUACAGAGCAUCGUAUUUAGCAAAGAUUUAGUUAAUCUUUAUAUCAUCAUUCGUUAAAUAUGGGCUAUCAUGUUAUAUAUCUUUUUCGUUGAUUUUUUAUUUCUCAAGUAUUAGCUACCAUGUUAUAAUAGAAAUUUUAACAUCGAUCAACUCAUAAUGAGCAUUUUAUAGCACAUAUUUAGUACAUUUAUAUUAUAUAUUUGUUAAAUAUGAGCUAUCAUGUUACAUAAUUUUUUUUAUCGAUUGUUAAUAUAAUCUGCUUAUGAAAUACAAGAAUAUACACUCAUAACGAGUAUCCAUAGAACUUUUUAAUCAUAAUAACCAUAACUUUUAUGCAUUUUGUUAUACUUAUUGUAGAAAUAUAUGUAAUCAUGUAAAAGAUCCAUCUAAACAUGUGUUCUUUUUCCUUCUAUGGUAAAUUUUUUAUUACAUUCAUUUAUUUGUAAAGCAUGUUAAAUAAUUAUUUUGUGAUGAUGGUAUUUCUUAGUCACAAUGGGUAUCUAUACACGUUCUCACUCAUAACGUUGGUCUCUACAUUGCAUCAUUACUUGUCGUUGAAAUUUAUGCAUCCAUGUAAAAAAUUCCUCUAAACAUGUACUAUUUUCUCUUCUGAUGGAGAAUUUGAUUAUAUAAUUUAUUUCUAAAGCACGUAAUAUAAAUUUUUUGUGAUGAUGGAUAUCUUUUUUAUUGAUCUUUUAAUAUUUUUUAUUUGUGAAAUAUGAGUCCAAUAUGAUAUUGAUUUGUAAUUUGACAAGUAUGCUUUUGAUAUUAUUUAUUUAUCAAACAUGAGCCUGUUGCACAUAAUACAAGAUAAAUUCACAAAUUGUUCCCGUUGCUACAAAAUAUAUAUGCUAUGUUAUUUUGUUGAGGACUACGGAUUAAAAUAAGACAUUAGAAGAAAAAAUAUUUUAAUUGUUUUCUAACACUCAAAAUACUUUUAACUUCUGUUGUGCACUCUAGUCUUAAGAUCUCAAUCUUCCCUAUUCUUCUCAAAUUCAUGAAUCUGCAAAUUAGAGAGGUAGUAAACAACUUACACUAACAACUUGUAUGAUAAGGCUGCAAUAUAAUCGCUAUUACACUAUAAUGUAAUAAAGGUAUAGUAGCUGUAUGUUGAUUGGUUUAAGUUGCAUAAUAGUUAUUACCUGGUUUUGUUUCAUGAACAACUUGUGUGAUAUGAAGGAAUAUGUCUAUUCGAACUUAUGCUUUCAAAACGAGGUGUUUAUUAAUGCAAACAUAAAGGUAGUGAAUAGAUGUUAACUAAUAUCAUUAAGAGCAAAGAAAGAAAGGGACCAAACAUUAGGUAUGUACCAUAAAAAAAGUCAUCUAGAAACUAUACUGCUCAAAACGCAAAGAGAAAUUCCGGUCUGGACAUAUUACUUCCUAGAGAGGCACUAUUUACUAACAUGUGAAUGAUGUACUAAAUUUUCAAGCCAUAUUUCUAAGAGAAAUAUCUUUUCAUCCAAUGGUAAGUAAAUGACACUAAUCGAUGGAAUUCUUCUACCUUGAAUUUGAGAAAGAAGAGAAUCCUAAGUAGAAUAAUAAACGAACUGUAUAAAAAAUGGAGUUUAACGUAUCAUAUAAAAAGUGAUGCAUAUUUAAAUGGAUUAUUUUGAAUGGAGGUGUUCAUUUAUGAGAAAAUGGAUAAAAGCCUUAUAAAGAGAUGUACUAUUUUGAUGGAGUAGAUAAAACAUGAACAAUAAACAUUAAAAAGAAUAAUGAUUAUUAACCAAAACCAUUCAUAAUAAAAAAAAAAUAUGGAAGAAUAGUGAUUACAGUAUCUAUGUAUAUAAAAGUAUAUCUGAAAAUUAAUUCCUAGGUCACAAGAUUUUUUAGUGGUGAAAUUAUAGAUUUAUUUACAACAUUAUAUUAUACAUAUAAAAAUAUGUAUUUGCAAUGAUAUGGUUUUUGACAGUUUUUAAAAUGUAAGUUGAGAACCAUAUAUUCUCAACAAAACAUGUAUUACUAAACAUAGAUCUUCAGUAAUAUAAUUAUGAACUUUCUAAUGUGGAAGAACUAUCAAAACUAAACAAUUUUCACAUUAUAUUUGAUUAAACUAGGUUUAACUAUUUUAACAAUAUAUAUGACUUUUUAUAUAGAGAAUCGUUAAAGGUUACAUUUUAGCAUUAAAAUAACCUUACAUUUACAACUUUGUUAGAAAUUUAUAAAUGAACGACAUUUAGUUAUAGAACUAAAAAAAAAUUCACAUGCUUACAGAGUAGUGAUGUUAACAUAAUAUGUGUGUGUGUGGGCGUGUACUUUCUUUAAUUCAAUCAUCAUAUUUAGGAUAAGAAAUAAUGGCAACUCUAUAUUUUUCAACAAAAAAAUUAUCAUUACUUAAGUUUUAGAACCAUAUAUUCACAUAAUAAAAAUUAAUAACAUCCUUACAUUCAAAUAUGAUUAGAUGCACAGUUAGAAAUAGCUCUUAUUACUCUGAAGUAAAACUGAAGUCAGAAUAUUUUUCUUUUCUUAUUAGAUCUAAAUGUGAAUAUUGGAAAAGUGACAUCCAAUUUUAUUAAUGAGAUUAAUAUUCUUAAUAUCUAUAAGAAGUGGGUCAAGUCAAAGCAAUGGCUCAUUCCAGUACUUGUGAUAUAAAUAAUUAUGGUUUUGAAUUUUGUAUCGCGAUUAGUUUAUAUCAUUAACAUGAAAGUUAAAAAGGUAUGCAACUAAAUGCAAUUAGAACAUAUGGAUGAUUUGUGCAAACAUCAAACAAGCAUGUGCAGAUCUUCGAUUAAAAAACACUAAAUAUAAAUAUUGAGAAUGCACAAUAUAAUGAAGUAAUGAGAUUAGUAAAAAACGUGCUAACCACUGUAUUUCAGCAAGCAUAUUUGUGCACAAAUGAAAAUGUAAUGAAUUGAAUAGAACAUUGCUUAGAACAGGACAAAAAGGGUCUCUAUGAAGUUAUUGACGAAAAUACGAUAACAUACAAGAAAUUUCUAAGUAAUGGGUAUCUCAUCCAAAAGAAUAAAAGUUUGAAGGAAGUAUUCAAACCACUAAAAAAAUCAGUCUUACAACUCUCAUGAUUUGUACUCACUGAGCAAAUCAUCACCUAAGACAAACUAAAUUCGAGUUCCUUAAAUAUUCAGUUUAAUCAAUUUUCAUGUCUGAUCUUUUUAGAAGCAAGAUCUAAUUACUUUAUGCUAUUUCACUGUAAGAGGAGUAAAGAUUAUCUAUAUAACGUUUGAUAUUUAACAUAUUUUUCUUCCAUGUAUAAUUGCAAACACUCAUUAAAGAAACACAUGAUAAUAAAGGAAUAUAAAACACAUGCAUACCUUUUGAGGUGACAUUCUCAAUUUCAUUUUGCUAUUGAGAAUUGCAAACAAGUCAUGCCAAAAUAAUAGGGGGGAUUCUACAAUUCAGAUUCUCUAAUUUUGAUACAUGUUUUGAUGACAAGUUUGAUAGAUGUACUUGGACUAUAAGAGUCAUGUGUUUUGCAUCUGAAGGAUACGAGUUAGGGUUGGGUGUUUCACAUAUAAAGGGCAUGAAUUUUGAUAGAUAUAUUUGAAGUAGUUUGUACAAUUAGAUGCCUUUUAUUAUAUUUUUGAAAGGAUGCAAUUUUUGGUAAUUCAAAGGGUGCAAAUUUGCGAAAAGCAUUAGUAGAAGAUGAAAAGUUCAAAAGUACCUUCUUGAGCUUCCCAUUUUUACAUGAAUUAGAUAAAUCAUGUGCAAUGACGACUUGUCAUUUCACCAAGUUGAAAAUAAGAAGUCCACACCAUAAUAGUAUGAUAUCAAACUGAAAUUAGUCCAUCUUUUAUAUAUAUAGAGAGAGAUCAUUUAAUCUAUUAAAACUUACGGUCCAUAAUGUUUUAUAAUGCAGGGCACUUGUAAGAUUGAGGCCCUUCGUCUUUGCUAUAAUGAAUGGGAAAGCUGUAAUGAGCAAAGCUACCGAGGUGAACAGUUUAACAAAUUCACCAACUUGAGGUUCCUUAAAUUGGACUAUGUGAAUUUUACUGGAGAUUUCCAAAACUUGCUUCCUGAAUUAAGAUGGCUUGACUGGGAGACUUGUCCCUCGGAUUUUGAAAUUGUCAACUUUCACCCAGAGAAAUUAGUCGUGCUCAAUCUAUCAGGUAGUGAGAUUUCAGAGGACUGGGGAGGAUGGGGCCCACUCAAGGUAAGAUUUUGAGAAGAUAUGUCCCUUGUGAAUAAUAACGUGGUAACUGACCAAAAAAAUAAAAUAAUAAUAACGUGUUACUAAAGGUCCAAUAGCACCAAGUUCUCCUCUCUUUUAUUUUUAUUUUUAUUUUUUUCAUUUUUAUAGAAAGGCUUAAUGUCAUUCCUCAUAUUAAGGAUUUUCGACAUAAUAUAAGAGGAAUUAUAGGCACCUAAAUGUUCGGAAGCUUCUGCUUCUUAUAACUUUAAUUGAUAAAACUCAACAACCUGUCAUGUUUUAACCUUAGACAAUACUUAAAAAAAAAAUUAACUAUAAUAAUUAACAUUUAUUGAAAUAUAAUUACAUAUUUGUACCAUUUCUGAUUUACUUUAAUCUAGAUGGUCUGUGGCUGGGUUAAUUUUUCCAAUGCAAAAGUAUGUCUUUUGAGCGAUUCUUGUUAUAUCUCUAUAUUAAUCUUCUUUCAUGGAGAAAAAAGAAAAAAUCUCACACGUACUGACUUGUGUUGUACAUCAAUACUAAAAUUCUGAAUUCAUUUUAAUCUUAAAGUAAUGGAUAUAAUUCAUGAAUUGCUUUGACUUGUUGCAUGAAAUAUUUAUUCAUUAUAAUUGUUGAUUAUGGAAGUCACUGUAUGAUGCAAAUAUAAAUUAUUAAUGUUAUGGGAGUAAUAAAACUAUCCUUUUGAUGGCAUUAAAUUUUUUUGGAAUAUAACAUUCUUAAAUUUAUUUUUUUGAGGUCACUUUAAGAAAUUGCUUUUCAUAAUUAAACUACCCGUUUCUUACUAUUGGAGAGUCUCUUUGAUAAUAAAAUUUGCGUAUGUCUAAUCAAUGACAUCACCAUGGCUCUUAAAAACUGAAUAUAUUUUCCUUUUGAAAUUUUAUCCAAAAAUAAACAUGGUUGGUGCUUGUAUGUCCCAAACAUUCUUUUUGCAAAGGAUAUGCUUAAAAAAUCAAUAUGGUUGUGUACCUUGACACUGUUGAAAAAAUAUAUUUAAAAUUAAAUAAGACAACUAUGAAAGAGUAGUGGAGUAUGGGUAUUUUUUUAGGAAUUUUAAAGAUUCUUAAAAAAAAAAAAAAGGAAUAGUGGAAAAUCACACAUUGCCAUUGUCCACUUUCACUUAUAUUUCCUUGAUUUCUUUCAGGUGGCAACUAAUUUGAAAGUUCUCGACCUCUCGGAUUGUCAAUAUCUGAGAAGAACUCCUGACUUGUCUGCUUUUGAAAGCUUGGAGAUUUUGAAUCUUGACCAGUGUUGGAGUCUAGAAGAAAUUCAUCCUUCUAUAUGGUAUAUUAAGACCCUUGUCUCCUUGGACACUUAUGAGUGUGUUAAACUAGAGAAGCUACCGGUAAAAAUAGGGAGAAUGGAAGAAUCGAGAGAGUUUCUAUGCUAUGAUAAACUUGCUCAGCUUCCUGAAUCCAUGGGUUCAUUUGAGUCAUUAACUAGGCUGGACUUAUCUAUUACAAGGAUUAAAAAAUUACCUGAAUCCAUUGGUUCUAUGAAGGCGCUAGAGACUCUUUGUGCCAAUGGGUGUAAAUUAUUAGAUUGCAUACCCAACUCCAUAGGCAAUCUAACAUCUCUAACUCGCCUUGACCUAUCAAGGUGUGAUUUAGAUUGCAUACCCAACUCCAUAGGCAAUCUAGCAUCUCUAACUCUCCUUAACCUAUCAUAUUGCGUGUCAUUGAGAGAGAUCCCUAACUCGAUUGGAAAGUUGGCAAAACUCCAAGUGUUGCAUGUAAAUAAAUGCAAAAUUUUGGAAGGACUACCGAGUGAUAUAGGCGAGCUGGUUUCGCUAAAUAAGCUUUAUUUAGACAAUUCGGGCAUUAGGGGCUUGCCGGAGAGCAUUUCGAAGCUCUCUUCUGUCCAGUGUCUCGACCUUAGGGCUGCAAAACCUUCAGAAAUACCGACACCGCCCUUGAGCUUAACAGCUCUACAUAUCGAUUUCCCGACUCCAUCGUUGCCAUUUCUUUCUAAACUAACCCUUCUUCAGGAACUCACUCUUUUCGAUCUCCGUCCUCUUGAAUGUCUCUCAGAGUUUCCCGUCCGACUAUCAACGCUUCAUAUUAAACCUAGUUCUUCGCUGAAUGACGAUCUGAGGGAUUUGGAGAAGCGAUUAUCCGAAUUGAUUCACGUCAAGUCCUCCGGGAGAAGAGAACUCACUGGAUCCAAUUGGACAUAUACUGAUCGCAUCCCCAGAAGAGAACUCAUUGGAUCCAAUUGGACAUAUACUGAUCGCAUCCCCAGAAGAGAACUCAUUGGAUCCAAUUGGACAUAUACUGGGCGAAGAGAACUCAUUGGAUCCAAUUGGACAUAUACUGAUCCCAACACCGGGCGAAGAGAACUCAUUGGAUCCAAUUGGACAGAUACUGAUCCCUUCAGGUACCGAAUUUUCAUCAGCUACCAAAUUGGUGAGGCAACGAACCCGACCAUUGCAAAAUCAAGCGAAGAAGGAGACCCUCUCUUUGAUGAGGCAGCGAGCCCAGGCACUCUAGCAGUCGCAACAUCAAGCGAAGAAGGAGACCCUCUCUCUCUCUCUCUCUCUUGGCCGUAUAAAUUUCGGCGACCGAACCCGGCCAUUGCAAAACCAAGCGAAGAAGGAGACCCCCUCUCUCUCUCUCUCGCUCUCUCGCCGAGCUUGUAAAAGCCCUAGCUGAAGGUAGGCCGCUACCACUUAGCUUUAUUCUCUUCUUGAUUGAGUGUUUCGGUUCAUAUUUGCUUUCUCUCUUGUGUACGCUCUCGCGUAUUGUUGGGGUAGUAGCUGUCGUCGUCGUCCGUCUAGUGGAAGGUUUUGGAUGUAAUGAGACGGCUCUCGAGCGGCGGCGGGGGGCGGGUUUUGUUUUGCGCUGGGUCGUGUUUGGCGCGGUGAUUUUUAAAAUUAGUUCAGUGGCUGUGCCGUUCCAGUUUCGUGCUCUGGCUGGUGAUCGGGGAUUCUUCUCCGAUAGUUGCUCUCGGUGCAUUUGGAAUGUGAACUUCCCUUUGGAGGCAUGGUCCGCCUCGUGGCAUAAGCCUAUGUGCAGUGCCGUGUGCAUGUGAUGGCAGACUGUUGGUGGUCGAAGCCGGAGGGUAUAGGUAGUAUUGACUAAUGGAGGUGGUGGUUUACGGUGGUCGUGCGGAGGUUUUGAUGAAAAUGAUGGCAGAAACCUACGCUUGAACAAGCUGAAUUUGCUUACUUUUCCUGAUUGCUUGAAUUGGGGUUUUUUUUGUUUUGGGAUAUUGCAACUGUAAUUUUAUCUUUUGUCUGUCUCAUAUGAUUGCUCAAAGUAAUUUAAUGAUUGAUGUGUCGAUUAUUAAGGAAGCUUCUGGAGGCAAAGUACGAAAACACAUAGGCAAAGGAGAGUGGUCAUGCUGCUGGACUUGUAGCGCUUUGGAUCCCUAAAGUUCGUUGGGUUCUUUCGAGCUAAUCAUCAGGCGUGAAUUUGAUACGCUGCAGGGCUGCAAGAGUGAGUUCAUUGUUUCAUUGUCAUUUCAAGUUCUUGAUCGACUGCUUGUGUUGAGUUUGAUACUAACAAGAUUCACAACAUUUUUCCUGUCGCCGCAUGAUCUUGGUUUUCAUGAUACUGGAACAGUAAAUAAAAUUGAAUGGUGGGACUUUUUAGCUACACCAAUGAGGAUUUGUUCUACUGAUGCUCUAUUUCUACUUCCCAGCACGCAAGUUUUUGUCUCCUGCCCCAUUCCGAUUUAUCUAAUGAUCUUGGUUUUCAUGAUACUGGAACAGUAAAUAAAAUUGAACUUCAUAAUAUGGGAGCAGAACCAUAUAUUUAUUCCAAAGAAACUUGUGACCUAUUACAGGUUUGAGCAAUGUGAUAUAUAUAGGAAUCAUGCUGAAAUUAUGAGAAGAAGCAUUUUCACAAUUUUACUCCCUUUAUGACGAGUAGCAACAUCUCACGAUCUAUCAAUAGUCCGCCUAUAUCUAGUAGAAUUAAUUAUUUCAUGUGUAAUGAACUCAUAGUGUUACACAAAGAUCUGAAGCGUCACUUCCAGGUGGUGGUGGAGAUGGAGUGGUCCCAGUGGUUGGGGCUUGUAGCUAUGGGGAUCCAGCUGGACUGGAGGUUGGGGCAGUGGAAAUUUCAACAACGGUGACAGCUAAUUUUUGGCCCUGAGAGCAACAAUCACUGUUAGUAAAGGUGUAGAUGAAAUAAUAUUUACAGGCGCUAUUGAGGGAAAAGUUGGUUGGUCCGUUGGUUAGUGCAUGAACAUGGAAGCACUGUGGCAGUUAUUGUUAUCACCAUGAUGUUGACAACGUUGUGUGACCCUGCAUAGAACACUGCAAAAUAACGGAAGAUCAUUGGCAUUAAAAGAGUGAAGCUCAAGAUUGAUUGCACAUAAGUACGUGUAUGCAAUUUAAAUCAGGAGAUUUUACUAACAGAGCUUCUGUAAGCUAGAAAAUACGAAAACCUUCUAGCAAUUAUGCUUCAAAAAGAAUGGGAUAUUGAGUUCUCUUCUGGAAGGUAUACAUAGAUUCAUGUCUCUUCCCUCUGUGAGAGCUUCUCCCUUUGUCGAGAGCUUUCCCUACAUCACAAUGAUGUUUUCUUUCAGCUACCUUCCUCCAUGAUCGUCAUCCCCCAUUCUUCUCAAUUGUCCAUAAUCCUCAUAUUCGCUUUCUGUCAUCAUUAGUUAUUUCUAUCUGCUUUCUAUUUUAGUUAAGUCUCUUUGGCAUUGUUUCAUCACAUUAGUUUUCCUGUCACUAUGCUUUGCCCCUAUCAACUGUUCGCUGACAUUUCUGAGUUGAUUCUUGGCUAAUCUAUUUCUUUUUCUCAUUACAGGAUGCCUGCGGAGGUUCCCUUAACAUCGUGUGCAUCUCUGGUAGAUGAUCUGCUGGGGGAUCAUUUGGUUUUGGAGCAAGUUGAUGAUGAGGAAGCUGAGAUGGUUUUGAUCGGAAGGAUUUUGUCGGAGAAGUGCUUGAGUCUAGCUGAGUAGCUAGCUUUUUGAAGGAAAGCCUGGGCUGGUAUGGGUGAGAUUACUGUAACCCCUCAAAAUAAGGUGUAUAUUUGCUCAGGUUUUACGAUUGGCACUUAGCAGAGAGAGUCCUGAGUUCUGGCUUUGGGUCGAUUAGGGGAAAUUGCAUAAACCUGCAGAGAUGGGAUGCUCAGAGGAGACAGUAGAACCUCUAUUUUCAUGAACUGGAGGUGUGGCUGCAAAUACAUGAAUUGGGCCUUCGAUCAAAUGAAAGAGGAUAAUGCGAAACCCAUUGCUCGUUGGCUGGGCAACUGGUGAAAGUUGAGUCAAUUCACACCAAAUCUCAGGGUAGCUGGGGAUUCCUUUGUGCUAAAAGUUGCAGAUGCUAUAUAUAUAUAUAUACUGUGGAGUACGGCACUAGCUUUGUUACUUCAACAAGUAUUAAACUUUCUGAGUAGUUGGUGAGUGAGAUUGAGAUUGAAAGAGAGAAAGCAGGUACUGAUCAUUGACCAACGAAGAAAAAGUCAAAAUGAUGCAUUCACAUGUCUUUUGAUGGUGCGAAAGGCCAAUUUUAAGAUAUUGCCCGAAUGGAUUGCGGUAUGCUGUGGGAAUGAAUGUGACGUCGCUCAAGCCUUUGUAAUGGGAUUGAGGAGGAUGAUUUGAUAAUGGACUGUGAUCCCAUAUAUUCUCUAUUCUCUAUUACAUUCAAUUUGAUCAGUCUAGCGUCUGACCAUAAUAUUUGACUAAUCAAUGUUCACUCAGUUGGAUCAAACACAUAUGAUGAGACGGCCCAUAGUUCAGAUAUGCUAUACUAGCCUACAUUUAGGUUUGCGAGCUUUGAUGCCAUGAUGUUGUACUUGUUACUUCAUACUCUACAAUAUUGCUUUUAUCUGGAUCGCCUCUUGGGCCAAGUCUCUCAAGUACUACUACAUGAAGAAUAGGGUUGGUUAUAAUUUGAUUACUUUAUCAUGUCCUUGCUGGACCAAUUAAAAGGGAUUGAGGCAUUGCGAGUCUUUCCACAUGAAGGAGAAGAACUGGGACUCAAAAGAGCAAUUUUGGUCAAUGUCAUUCAGGAAUCAGCUGAACCUGUUUAAAUCGAGUGUCUAAACCUCAAAAACUAGAAACCUAUGUUUUAAUUUGUAGCCUCAGCAUCCAUACAUAAAAAUUGACUCGGAGAGCAGAUCAAUGCUGCAUCACACCAAUCUUGUAUAUGGUCUUCGCGAUUUCAUGGGUAACUUGCAUAAAUACUCAUGAAGAAUGCCAUUUCAGAGGUUAAAAAUAGUAAGAAUAGAACUUUUGAUCAAGAGAGAGUGUCAACCAUAGCUGAGUCGGGGAAGUAGGAAAUUUUCUAGAGUUAGAGAUCAUAAAAGUCAUCGAUCAGGUAGCAUCCCAAAUACUCCCAAACCUGCCAUUGAUUAGACAAAAAUCGAAAAGUAAAUAACGUAUUCGGUCAUCCAGUAAUUGUGAAGAUUCAAGAUUUGACAGAUUAAAACACAAGCAAUGCCCCAGGACGGGUGAAUCCUAUGAAAGACUGAUCAAAAAGUCCCAACGAAGCCGAGCAGUAUUUUGAUGUCAACGAUGAAAUGAAUAAUAUCUAGUAAAAAAUGACUCUGAAAUGUCUAAAUUCAGACAUUAUCUCUAACACCUCAACCGCCUGUUAUUCCUAAGCCUGUUCUAAGAGAUUAUCCCUGACACCUCUUCUCCUGUCUGAAGCCACCUUCCCUGCCCAACCCUUGAAUCUCCUCCUCGUUCACCCUCAUCCUCACCAACGACAUGUCCUACAACUACACAAUCCUCUACCAUUAACACUACCCCCUCCCCCAAUUCGCCCUGCCCUACAACCCGUCUGAUCAUAAACACCUCCACAAAUCUUCUAAAUUGGUGCCCCCACAAAGCUUAAGUCCAUACACAUACCUUAUACCCUAAUCCCUAGUCCUGAGCUGUGNNNNNNNNNNNNNNNNNNNNNNNNNNNNNNNNNNNNNNNNNNNNNNNNNNNNNNNNNNNNNNNNNNNNNNNNNNNNNNNNNNNNNNNNNNNNNNNNNNNNUUUAAUCCCCUAAAUCCCCUAGGUCCGGGAGCUAUCUGGUCUUUACUUUUGCUCCCUUGUGAGAGAAAAAAAAAAACGCCCCGAAAAACUGUUUAUGUCGAUGUUAAUCAAAAGGCCUUAUUUUCACAGUAAUCAAAUGACACAUUGUGAUGGUCACAAAUCCCAUAAAAGAGUCAUUUAAAUUUCCCCCUUUGGUAAAACAAAAGAGAUAUCUUAAAAAAAAAAAAAAAAAAAGGCAGCAGCUACGUGGUCCCUCGUCUUUUGCGUAAUUACCAAACUGCCAAAAUUAUAGUAAAGAAAAAGUAAACAUCUACACCUUACGCGGGAUUAACGCAAAAAAACCGCUUUCCACGUCCACCCCACGAACCAGCCGCGGCUUUCCUCCUCAUCCUGACUCCUCACUCCCACCCCCACCGCCCCCACCACCACGCCACUCUGCUCAGCCGCCGCACGCCUCCGUCCUCAUCCGCCCGACCUAUAAAUAAACCCUCCAACCUUACCCUCUUCUCCAUCUUCUUCCUCAUCUCCAUCCACUCUCUCCGCUCUCUUCACGGCCUCGCACGGACCAGACCAAGAAUUCGAGUCCCAUCGCUCUCGCCGUCGAAAUGCUCUUCCAUCACAAGCUCAGAUCAUCCUCCCCGUCCCUCCUCUUCUCCUGCUUCCACGACGGUGGCCAUGCCGCUGCCUACCACGAGGCCACCUCCUCGGACUGUGACGACGGCCACCCCCGCAAGGUCCGCUCGACGGCCCAGGAGCUCCUCCUGCCGGAGAUCCGGUACAGGUGCCGCAGCCUCAUCGCUCGGAUCGGGAGGUGCCGGUGGAGGCCGGACCACGCGGCGGCGGCGGCGGCGGCCUCCUCGGAGUUCGGGUAUGACCCGAUGAGCUACGCGCUAAACUUCGAGGACGAUCGGAGCUGGGAGUCAGACGAGGAGUUCUCAAUGAGGAACUUCUCAGCGCGGCUGCCGGUGUCUCCAGAUCGUUUGAUGCCGUCGAGGUUAUCGAGGGAAGUCGUAGCUUGUUGUUGAAGUUGUUUUCCUCUGGAAUUUUGAUCCACUAAGUUGGGCUUAUAUCAACAGUCUCUAGAGCAAUUCGCAGUGUCUGUACAUAUUUGUAGAACUUCCAUAUCUCAAUUUUAUGAAAGAUCUGCUUCGAUAUGUUCUCGUCGUCUCCGCUUUGCUUUCUCCUUUUGUCUGGAUUGUUGAUCCCCGGUCGAGAAUUUUGCUGAUUGGCGAUGCGUCAUCGAAAUGCGAACCUUCGACUUAAAAAAAAAUAAAAAAUUGAAACACGAACAAACAAGAAGAAAUUUUAUUGUUAUUGUUGGAUGAAUGGGCUUGAGCCAAGUUACAGCCCGUUAAGGUGGCAGGCAGUGUCUGUUUUGUGCCUAGGCCAGGUCAGGGCCAUGGGUCCUAAUGGGCCAGCCUAGGCUCGACAAAUAUUUAUUCAAACAUGAAUCGUUAAGUGUCUACUGAUAAUUUUUAUAAUUAAAUGAAAAAAAAAUGGGAAGAGAAUUUAGGGUUAUAGUAAAUGCAUUUCUAUUCUUUUUUUUUUU